rnacentral:rRNA from 1 species
AACGAACGUUGGCGGCGUGGAUUAGGCAUGCAAGUCGAACGAAUGUCAGUUUUGUAGCAAUACAGAGCUGGCGGAAGUGGCGAAAGGGGCAGUGAUGCAUGGGUAACCUACCUUGGGGAUGGGCAUAGCCGUUCUAACGAGCGGGUAAUUCCCAGAGAUUCAGCGGGAGGGCAUCCUUCUGCUGGGAAAUGAAUUUCGCCUCGAGAGGGGCCCAUGUGCUAUUAGCUAGUUGGUAGGGUAACGGCCUGCCAAGGCUAAGAUGGCUAGCGGGUGUGAGAGCACGACCCGCGCCACUGGCACUGAGACACUGGCCAGACACCUACGGGUGGCUGCAGUCGAGGAUCUUCGUCAAUGGGCGCAAGCCUGAACGAGCGACG